rnacentral:rRNA from 1 species
UGGGGAAUAUUGCGCUAAUGCGCGAAAGCGUGACGCAGCGACGCCGCGUGGGGGAUGAAGGCCCUCGGGUCGUAAACCCCUUUCGGCAGGGACGAAGCGAGAGUGACGGUACCUGCAGAAGAAGUCCCGGCUAACUACGUGCCAGCAGCCGCGGUAACACGUAGGGGACGAGCGUUGUCCGGAUUCAUUGGGCGUAAAGCGCGCGUAGGCGGCCCGGAAAGUCGGUUGUGAAAUCCCGGGGCUCAACCCCGGGACCGCGUCCGAAACUUCCGAGCUCGAGGCAGGUAGGGGAGAUCGGAAUUCCUGGUGUAGCGGUGAAAUGCGCAGAUAUCAGGAGGAACACCAGUGGCGAAGGCGGCUUCCUGGCCCGUUCUUGACGCUGAGGCGCGAAAGCUAGGGGAGCAAACGGG